rnacentral:rRNA from 1 species
ACUCAAAGGAAUUGACGGGGACCCGCACAAGCAGUGGAGUAUGUGGUUUAAUUCGAAGCAACGCGAAGAACCUUACCAGGGCUUGACAUCCCACUAACGAAGUAGAAAUACAUUAGGUGCCCUUCGGGGAAAGUGGAGACAGGUGGUGCAUGGUUGUCGUCAGCUCGUGUCGUGAGAUGUUGGGUUAAGUCCCGCAACGAGCGCAACCCUUACGGUUAGUUGCUACGCAAGAGCACUCUGGCCGGACUGCCGUUGACAAAACGGAGGAAGGUGGGGACGACGUCAAAUCAUCAUGCCCCUUACGUUCUGGGCUACACACGUACUACAAUGGCCGUUGACAACGGGAAGCGAAACCGCGAGGUGGAGCAAAUCCCUGAAAAGCGGCCCCAGUUCAGAUUGCAGGCUGAAACCCGCCUGUAUGAAGUUGGAAUUGCUAGUAAUCGCGAAUCAGCAUGUCGCGGUGAAUACGUUCCCGGGUCUUGUACACACCGCCCGU